GUUCGACUGGGGUCGCAUGCCUUCACCGGCGAGCGGCCCUGCUUUUACACACCAUGAUAAACCUCAUACCAAACCAAACUCUGAAGCUGUGACCGCUAUUAAUUGGCAGUCUUAACCGAGAACAACUCUCAACAACGGAUAUCUUGGCUCUCGCAACGAUGAAGAACGCAGCGAAAUGCGAUACGUAGUGUGAAUUGCAGAAUUCCGUGAACCAUCGAAUCUUUGAACGCAUAUUGCCGCUCGACCCUUCGGGGAAGAGCAUGUCUGCCUCAGCGUCGGUGUUAACCUCAUCCCUCCCAACUUGUUGGGUCCAAUUAGCUUGCUCAAGCCGAUUGUUGGGAUGGAUCUGACCUCCCCAAUUCAUGCUCUUGUUAGCACGACUUGGGCUGGUUGAAGCACAGAGGCUUAAACUGGGACCCGAUAUGGGCUCAACUGGAUAGGUAGUUCCACUUGUCCUUGUGGCAGGUGCCUACACGAAGUUGUGCUUGUGGACCUGGUUAGGAGCCCAGCAGGAAUUCGAGU
rnacentral:rRNA from 1 species